rnacentral:rRNA from 1 species
UUGUAUUUUGUAGAAGGUGCUUCGGGUGCGAUCGCGGCUCAAGUCCCUUGGAACAGGGCGUCCCAGAGGGUGAGAAUCCCGUACGCGGCCGACGAUCAAGCCCGUGUGAAGCCCUUUCGACGAGUCGAGUUGUUUGGGAAUGCAGCUCUAAAUGGGUGGUAAAUUUCAUCUAAAGCUAAAUAUCUGCCAAAGACCGAUAGCGCACAAGUAGAGUGAUCGAAAGAUGAAAAGAACUUUGAAAAGAGAGUUAAAUAGUACGUGAAAUCGUUAAAAAGGAAGGGCUUGCAACCAGACUCGCUCGCGGGUGCUCAGCCGUCCCUCGGGGCGGUGCAUUCUCCCGCGAUCGGGCCAGCAUCGGUUCUGGCGGCCGGACAAAGGCCUUGGGAACGUAGCUCCUUUCGGGGAGUGUUAUAGCCCGGGGUGCAAUGCGGCCAGCCGGGACCGAGGACCGCGCAUUCGCUAGGAUGCUGGCGUAAUGGUUGCUAGCCACCCGUCUUGAAACACGGACCAAGGGUGAGUAUCCCCUUUUGUUUUUAUCUGCGCCUGUACUCGUGCUAACCUUUUUCAAGGAGUCGACCAACCGGGCGAGUGUUUGGGCGUUAAACCCAUGCGCGUAAUGAAAGUGAACGGAGGUGGGAGCCUUCGGGUGCACCAUCGACCGAUCCUGAUGUCCUCGGAUGGAUUUGAGUACGAGCCCCGUUGGUCGGACCCGAAAGGUAAAGUCGCCCAUUCCGUGCGCUAUGAUUUCUUUUCAUUAACGUCUCGCAGAUGGCGAACUAUGCGUGAAUAGGGUGAAGCCAGAAGAAAUUCUGGUGGAGGCUCGCAGCGGUUCUGACGUGCAAAUCGAUCGUCAAAUUUGCGCAUAGGGGCGAAAGACUAAUCGAGCCAUCUAGUAGCUGGUUCCCGUCGAAGUUUCCCUCAGGAUAGCAGCAACGGAAACAGUCUCAUGAGGUAGAGCGAACGAUUAGAGGCAUGGGGGUUGAAACAACCUUCACCUAUUCUCGAACUUCGAAUAUGUGAGAAGUCCUUGUUACUUAGUUGAA